GACGUAGGGCGCGAGCGUUGUCCGGAUUUAUUGGGCGUAAAGAGCUCGUAGGCGGCUUGUUGCGUCAGCUGUGAAAACCCGCAGCUCAACUGUGGGCUUGCAGCUGAUACGGGCAGGCUUGAGUUCGGUAGGGGAGACUGGAAUUCCUGGUGUAGCGGUGAAAUGCGCAGAUAUCAGGAGGAACACCGGUGGCGAAGGCGGGUCUCUGGGCCGGUACCGACGCUGAGGAGCGAAAGCGUGGGGAGCGAACAGG
rnacentral:rRNA from 1 species